GUAACUAGAUUUACCCAUAUUUGGAUGAAAAAUAAAACAUUUCGAAAUGCAUAACUUGAUAUUGAAUAUCAACUUAUUUUCUGACCAAGAGGCUGUAGUUUAAUCGGUAGUUCCAAAACAAUAUUUCAUUUAAUUUAAUUUAUAAGAAUAAUCGUUUUGUGUUCCGUUGAGUGUUGUUACAGUUGGAUAGAAAUGUUUUAAAUCGAGAAAAGCAAAAAAAAAACAUUUCGAUUUGCCCAAAGAAACAAAAUCUAGAAACCAAUGUUGGCCGAAGUGGAAGAAAUGUGUUUUAUUUUUUCGAGUUUUAUUUCAUCGUUUCAUCUUCGCUUUCAUCUGAUGCAACCUUUGAUUCGAUUUUCGUUGAUCCGGAUGUACACAUACAAAACUAUUUGUUUACCGGGUGCUCGUUCCCGAUUAGCAUCGGCUCCAAGUGGUUAUCACCGACCUGUGCGUGUACUGGACCGGUACAUGCGAGCUUAUCCGGAGAUGUUUUCCUGCAGAUCUAUCGAGGCCGUCAAAGACAAGCACAGCGGACACGAACACGACCAAAAAUACGAAUCUCCUCCGGAACCGUCGCUGGAACCAAUGUUUUGCAUGCGAUUAUAGUUAGAGCUACUGGUUGGAUUGAAGAAUCGUCACAACAUUCCGGCCGGGACAGGAAAAAAGACGAACUAUGGGAAAGAAAUCGUGACCUCCAAGCCCGCCGUGUCUAUUUCAUCACAGACAGUUUUAUCAGUUCCGUCUAAGGCCGGAUCGCAGCGCUUAUUCGAUACCACCAGGUCUGCUGUAGUUUAGAAAACUAACUAAAACUUCAUGUGAAGGUGUGGAGAAUGGAGGAGUUUAUGGAUCACCAUGAGGAAAUGUCCAGCACUAUAUACAACGGCGGCGUCAUUCUACCAAAGGGUUUUGUUUCUGGUUCACUUUUUAUUAUAAAAAAUAAAGUUGAAUGAAUAAAUUAUACAAAAACGAUGUAGAUGUUAUAAAUAAGUAAUU